GUCAAGCAGAGCACGACAACGACGAUGGCUGGGACUUCCUCUUCAUCCAACGCGUCAACCGGGCAUCUGCCGGAUUAUGUUUACUCGACAGAGUUCGCUGCAAAACGGAGACUAUGUUAAACUACUUCGCUUCAUCGAGAUCGAUAAUUUUGUGGUGCCGAAAAACAAAAGGCCUUUGAUCCUUUCUUUUAUCUUCAACCAUACUUUCCACAGUGCCACCAUCUCCAGCUGCCGAAAGAUCCUCUGCAGGCCCUUCACCAGCGUAGGGGCCAUCAGUUGCAGACUGAUCUCCCAGAGGCCUCGCCUUAUCUUGCGCAGCUUCUCGCAACUUAUCACGGCGGUCCUUCCAAAUUUUCUGGAGUCUCACUUUCUCAACGUUCUCAAGUGCAAACUCCACAAUUGGACGACGUUCUGCACCAAAAGUUUCUGCAAAUGACAAAAAACAACAAUGUAACUGGAGAUAAACAGACAACACUAAAAAAAAAUGCAGCAGCAAACAAGCAAAUGCUAGUUACUACUAGAAAGGAAGGGAAGACAUUAAGGGUAUAGUAUGUCUCUGAUGAUCUGCAUACUGAGGAAAAGUGAAAACUGCAGCUAGAGCUAACAGCAGCUCAAAGACACAGAAAGCUCAUGAUUGGACAAGAAACAGCACAGAUAGGUAGCGCGAAGCCAUGAACAAGUGAUACAGUGAUUCCAUGCAAUCCAAGGAUGCAGCAUUAUGCAAUAGGCAAGAUUAACACAUCACAUUCUUCUCAGAGAAAGACAUAUUGCACAUUAGAAAGUAAGUGAGACGAUGAGGCAGUUAGACAGCAUGGCUGCAACAAAACAAUACUUAGAAGCAUUUGGUAUAGAAAAGAGUACCAGGGUUAUUGUUUAGGACUCUUAGAGCCACAAGAGCAUGCUCAUGUUCUUGAAAAUCUACGAAGGCUACACCACGGGAAUGUUUCUGUGCAGUACUGCUGCUCUUCUUUUCAUUUUUCAGAAUAUUUACCUGUUCAAGACAAA